rnacentral:rRNA from 1 species
GACGAACGCUGGCGGCGUGCUUAACACAUGCAAGUCGAACGGAAAGGCCCUGCUUUUGUGGGGUGCUCGAGUGGCGAACGGGUGAGUAACACGUGAGUAACCUGCCCUUGACUUUGGGAUAACUUCAGGAAACUGGGGCUAAUACCGGAUAGGAGCUCCUGCUGCAUGGUGGGGGUUGGAAAGUUUCGGCGGUUGGGGAUGGACUCGCGGCUUAUCAGCUUGUUGGUGGGGUAGUGGCUUACCAAGGCUUUGACGGGUAGCCGGCCUGAGAGGGUGACCGGCCACAUUGGGACUGAGAUACGGCCCAGACUCCUACGGGACGCAGCAGUGGGGAAUAUUGCACAAUGGGCGGGAGCCUGAUGCAGCAACGCCGCGUGCGGGAUGACGGCCUUCGGGUUGUAAACCGCUUUCGCCUGUGACGAAGCGUGAGUGACGGUAAUGGGUAAAGAAGCACCGGCUAACUACGUG